UGUAUCAAUGAUGUACGUGCUAUUACCACGAUUACGAGGAAAAGAAGUCGCUCUUCAGAAUUCACCAUAACCGUCGACCACUCAUAUUUUAUAUUUUGAGAGUUAUAUUGAUCGUCAUAAAAAAAAAUUGAAUUUUAGACCGUGUACAAAAUUUAAAGAAAGGAAGCACGUCAUAAUAUUGAAGAUGGCGAGGGUUUCGUCCAAUAAGUUGAUUUGUUGGGGUGUGACCGGUGCGAUCAUGGCCAGUAUCGGAAUCGUUCUCAUUCCCGUCACAGAUGUCGUCAUUUUAAAAGUCUUGGAACAGGAGGGAAUCAUUGUCCCCAGCGCCCUGGCCUACCCUCUAUGGGAAGAGGUCCCUAUCCCAAUUUAUUUCCAGUUCUGGUUCUGGAACCUCACCAACCCC